rnacentral:lncRNA from 10 species
UUUAUUUCUUUUAUGCAUAUAUUUAUGGGGAAAAGUUUCUUUCCCUACUCUUGUCUUUUCAUAUGUAAUGAGUUCCAUUAAUGUAACACUUUAAGCUCUCCUUUUUAUUCUACUCCAGACAUGCAUUUAAAUGGGAAGUUGGGAAGGAAAAACUGGACACGUGAGCCUGCAUAUCUCCAUAUCUUCUUUUUCUCUCUUUCUCCCUCAUCCUCUCACUGUCUAACUCUCAUGUUCCCUUCCUCUCUUUGUAUUGCCUAUAGAAUGUAAAUCCUCCCAGAUGACCUCUCUAUGCUAUAAAUUUUCAGCCCACAUACUUGAAGGUGUGAGUCACAUUCUUCAAAAUGAUCAGCUGUAGCAAUAAUAAAGGUGAUAUUCUGCCUCCACCUAUUUUGCUUCUUAUUUCAGAACUUGAGUGGGGAAGAAGGGUGCUAUUUAUUGACUUCCUCAAGAACUUCAACUAUCUAAUGCAUGGCUUGAAACAAAUAUAACCUUGCUUUCUGAGUGGAAUGAAGUAUUAUCAACACAUAUUUACCUAUAUUUUAUACUACUGUUUCGGUACUUUCUUUUUUAA